rnacentral:rRNA from 1 species
AACGCUGGCGGUAACUUUUAAACAUGCAAGUCGAGCGGUAACAGACAUAAAGAUUCAGCUUGCUGAAUCCGGUGCUGACGAGCGGCGAACGGGUGAGUAACGCGUAGGAAUCUACCCAGUAGCGGGGGAUAGCCCGAGGAAACUCGGAUUAAUACCGCAUACGCCCUGAGGGGGAAAGGGGGCAAUUUAUUGCUCUCACUAUUGGAUGAGCCUGCGUAAGAUUAGCUUGUUGGUAGGGUAAUGGCCUACCAAGGCGACGAUCUUUAGCUGGUCUGAGAGGACGAUCAGCCACAUUGGGACUGAGACACGGCCCAGACAUCUACGGAUGGCAGCAGUUAAGAAUAUUGGACAAUGGGGGCAACCCUGAUCCAGGUAUACCGCGUGUGUGAAGAAGGCCCUAGGGUUGUAAAGCACUUUAAUCAGAGAAGAAGCAUUUUAAGUUAAUACCUUAAUGUGUUGACGUUACCUGAAGAAUAAGGACCGGCUAACUCCGUGCCAGCAGCCGCGGUAAUACGGAGGGUCCAAGCGUUAAUCGGAAUUACUGGGCGUAAAGCGCGCGUAGGCGGUUUAGCAAGUUGUAUGUGAAAGCCCUGGGCUCAACCUAGGAACUGCAUCCAAAACUACUAAGCUAGAGUACGAGAGAGGAGAGUAGAAUUUCUGGUGUAGCGGUGAAAUGCGUAGAUAUCAGAAGGAAUACCAAUGGCGAAGGCAGCUCUCUGGCUCGUCACUGACGCUGAGGUGCGAAAGCGUGGGUAGCAAACAGGAUUAGAUACCCUGGUAGUCCACGCCGUAAACGAUGACAACUAGCCGUUGGGCAGAUUUAACUGUUCAGUGGCACAGCUAACGCAUUAAGUUGUCCGCCUGGGGAGUACGGCCGCAAGGCUAAAACUCAAAUGAAUUGACGGGGGCCCGCACAAGUGGUGGAGCAUGUGGUUUAAUUCGAUGCAACGCGAAGAACCUUACCAAUCCUUGAAAUCUAGCGAAGUUCGCAGAGAUGUGAAUGUGCCUUCGGGAACGCUAUGACAGGUGUUGCAUGGCUGUCGUCAGCUCGUGUCGUGAGAUGUUGGGUUAAGUCCCGUAACGAGCGCAACCCCUAUCCUUAUUUGCCAGCGCGUAAUGGCGGGAACUAUAGGGAGACUGCCGGGUGAAACCCGGAGGAAGGCGGGGACGAGGUCAAGUCAUCAUGGCCCUUAUGGGUAGGGCUACACACGUGCUACAAUGGGAAGUACAGAGGGAUGCGAAAGCGCGAGCUGGAGCUAAACCCUUAAAACUUUUCUUAGUCCGGAUUGGAGUCUGCAACUCGACUCCAUGAAGUCGGAAUCACUAGUAAUCGCGAAUCAGAAUGUCGCGGUGAAUACGUUCUCGGGCCUUGUACACACCGCCCGUCACAUCAUGGAAGUGGGUUGCACCAGAAGUAGUUAGUCUAACCUUCGGGAGGACGCUUACCACGGUGUGGUUCAUGACUGGGGUGAAGUCGUAACAAGGUAGCCGUAGGGGAACCUGCGGCUGGAUCACCUCCUUA